AAGAUCCCCCACACUGGUACUUGAGACACGGACCAGACUCCCUACGGGAGGCAGCAGUGAGGAAUAUUGGUCAAUGGAGGCAACUCUGAACCAGCCAAGCCGCGUGAAGGAAGACUGUUCUAUGAAUUGUAAACUUCUUUUGUGACAGAGUAAAAGAUAGCUACGCGUAGUUUUUUGCAAGUAUGUCAUGAAUAAGCAUCGGCUAACUCCGUGCCAAGCAGCCGCGGUAAUACGGAGGAUGCAGGCGUUACCCGGAUUUAUUAGGUUUAAAGGGUGUCCAGGCUGUCUGGUAAGUCACAGGUGAACGUCGCGUUGCUUAACGAUCGAAUUGCCUUUUGAACUGGUCAGACUUGGAGUAUGGACUCGGUUAGGCGGAAAUGUGUUAGCGUACCGGUGUAAAUGCGAUAGAUAUUACACAGAACACCGGAUUGCGAAACCAGCUUACCAAACCUAGCACCUGACGCUGUAAGCACGAAGCGUUGGGUAGCGUACAGGGAUUAGAUACCCUGGGUAGUCCACCGCCAGUAAAACCGAUGCUCACUCAGCUGUUGGCAAAUAGAUCGUCAACCGGGCUAAGGGAAACCGGAUAAGUGAUCCAACCUGGGGAGUAACGAUCGCAAAGAUUGAAACUCAAAGGAAUUGACGGGGGCCCGCACAAGCGGUGGAACAUGUGGUUUAAUUCGAUGAUACGCGAGGAACGUUACCUGGGCUUAAAUGUACGAUGCAUAAGUUGGAAAGCACUUUUUCCUUCGGGACUUUGUACAAGGUGCUGCAUGGUUGUCGUCAGCUCGUGCCGUGAGGUUGUCGGGUUAAG
rnacentral:rRNA from 1 species